GACGAACGCUGGCGGCGUGCUUAACACAUGCAAGUCGAACGGAAAGGCCCUGCUUUUGUGGGGUGCUCGAUUGGCGAACGGGUGAGUAACACGUGAGUAACCUGCCCCUGACUUUGGGAUAACUUCACGAAACUGGGGCUAAUACAGGAUAGGAGCUCCUGCUGCAUGUGGGGGGUUGGAGAGUUUCGGCGGUUGGGGAUGGACUCGCGGCUUAUCAGCUUGUUGGUGGGGUAGUGGCUUACCAAGGCUUUGACGGGUAGCCGGCCUGAGAGGGUGACCGGCGUCAUUGGGACUGCGAUACGGACCAGAAUCCUACGGGAGGCAGCAGUGGGGAAUAUUACACAAUGGGCGGAAGCCUGAUGCAGAGACGCCGCGUGCGGGAUGACGGGCUUCGGGUUGUAAACCGCUUUCGCAUGUGACGAAGCGUGAGUGACGGUAAUGAGUAAAGAAGCACCGGCUAACUACGUG
rnacentral:rRNA from 1 species